rfam:Oryza nivara chromosome 12, whole genome shotgun sequence.
AAAAAGACAAACCCUGGAUUUCCGUGCUAAUGUUUAACUGUCCGUCUUAUAUGAAACUUAUUUAUAAUUAGUAUUUUCAUUAUUGUUAGAUGAUAAAACAUAAUUAAUACUUUAUGCGUGACUUAUCUUUUUAAUUUUUUCAUAUUUUUUUUAAAUAAGACGGACGGUCAAACGUUUGAUACGAAAACCAGGGUUUAUCUUUUC